rnacentral:tRNA from 1 species
GGGCGCUUGGUCUAGGGGUAUGAUUUUCGCUUCGCAUCUUCUUCUGACUCUCCAAGAGUUCAGAUGCGCUGUUUGUGAAAGGUCGUGGGUUCAAUUCCCACAGUGUCCA